GGCUCUGUAGCUCAGAUGGCAGAACAAUGGACAUGUAACCCGAAGGUCGUGGGUUCCAAACCCACCUGAGCCA